GCGACUGUCGAAAAAAAAGCUUGGGAGAUUAUAAAAAUGUUCGUCCCUAUAAAGAGGGUUUGUAUUUGCUGAUACUGUUACAUUAUUGGGUGCAGUAAGAACACUACUUCACAGAAAUGAGCAGUUCUUUGUUAUUCUGAAUUCAACAUACCAUGGCUGGCCAUUUUCCCUCUGGAGCCUCGGACAAAUCGGCAUUACUGCAUGACCAGAAUAUGAACAAUAAUUCCCCUUCAAAGCAGAUUCCCUCCCCUGGAGGGAAGGAGCCGCCGGUCUUUAUUCUCUCUUCUCCUCAGGCCAUCCCUUCUCCAAUAUCUGGAUCACCUGUUUUAAAACACAACCCGAUCACCCCACCUCUCUUACAGAAAAUACAAUCAACCUCACCCCAGAAAUCACCCAGCAUCCCUCACAAAAACUUUAUACCUCCGGGGCAGGGCCAGUCUUGUGUUCCUUUGACAGCCCCUGUGAAUGCAGACAGUAAACUAGUGGCCCCAAUAUCAAAUGGGGGUCAGAAAACCAGUUCAAAACCACUGGAGAAUGUCCAGCGCCAACCAGCAGUGAUCCAAACAAACCCCAAAACAGAGAAACCGAAAAGUUUGGAUUUGAGAACUCAGGAUGACAAUUACAAUCAGGAUAGUUCAGGAAAUAUGGCUUUACAGCAGCUGAAGAGUGCAGCAUUGCCCACAGAGAUGCAGCAGAAGAGUGCAGCAUUGCCCACAGAGAUGCAGCAGAAGAGUGCAGCAUUGCCCACAGAGAUGCAGCAUAAGAAUGUAGCAUUGCCCACAGAGAGAAAUGGAGGAAGUGUAGUGAAAGAAGAAGGAUCAGACUCAACCAGUGACUCUGAACGCCGCCCAGAUCUCUCCAAGUAUAGAAUCAGGAGGGGUCUAACGUUUUGUACCGAGUAAGUUCAGUGUCAAAAGGAACUGGGGCAUACAUGUUCUAUGUACACAAUUGUCAAGAAUAUCUGAUGCAGUCAUUUAGUGGGACAUUAAGAUCUUGACUUUGAUUCCCUCCAGUGAGGAGGGUGUAAUUUGAUGCACUCAGACUUUUAUUGAUACACUCAUACAUGUAAGUGCUGCAUUGGUUUUUCAAUUCACAUUGACUAUGUUGAAGGAAAAUAUGAAGAGCAGUUGCCGUUGGAAUUAAUUCAAAUAUUAUAAUGAAGGUAAAGUGGUUCAGAAUUCGAAGGAAAAAUUGAUAUAGGAGCAGUUGCAAUUUUAUUGUUCCAUAUUGCAUUAACUUUAAUGCAUGGAUAUUGAGUACCCAACAUAAUUAUAUAUUGUUAUACUGUUCUAUGUCAACUUGUGUACAUAAGACAACAUGUGAUCCCCUUAGUUCUGAAAAAUACAGUUGAACCUGUCUGAAUUAAGAACUGUGCAUUUUAAAAUCCAUGAUUUUCAAUAGAUAGUAAACUCCUCAAUGACAUGAACUCUUCAUUUUAUUUUGAGCCCCUAUACACAGGUGUGUAUAGGGGCUCAAAUAGGGGGCAGGUCUGAAAUGUUCAGACCUGCCCAUGUUGCCUGUGUAAUAGUGAAAUAAUGACCCAGGGUUUUGGUUUUGUGCAUUGUUCCCCACAGACAGGUUCUACUGUUAGUGGUUGGCGUCUACUGUCUUUGCAAUGGUGUCUAUACAUCUGUAGCUUGAUUCAGCUUCACUCACUCUUUAUUUUGUACAUUGCUUCUCACCUCUGCUAUGUAGUGUUCUUUAAAAUGUUUAUAUUAAAGUACUACUGUACCAUUUAAUGUAC
rnacentral:misc_RNA from 1 species